ACAGCCGCCCUCGGAAAGUGCAAAAGCAGCCACGAGACAGAUCCAGGCUUUGUUGCUAAUUUCCCAGGGUGAAAAUUGACAAGCCUGGGAGUGCAGUCAGCACAACCCAUUGCAUAUGCUACUGACAAACGCUGGGGACAUCCCCUCCCACCCAUGCCUAUCACACAGAGAAUGUGACCUCUGCAGGACUGGACUCUGGAAGGACCCUACCUCCAGGACUCGCCCACAAGAAGAACUGCAAAAGAGCUCCAAAGGAGAAGGAAAAAAAAUCAUCAGAAAAACCCCCGUGCAGAUGAAGAGGCUUGAUGCUUAAUGCGCACAGAUGUGAUCGCCAGUGGUCGCCGACAAUGAAAUAUACAAGUGCACACAAAGUGAUCCGGUGAACAAGAGGUGGAAUUUAAUCAUCUUCUGCUGACACUUUGUGAAAAACACCAUUAACCCUCAGCAAACCCCUGUUUUCCUGGCUCCCUGUAACCCCUAAAGUCUCAGCCCCUCCUCCCAAGGAGAAAAAGUGAAAGAAGAAUUUGUGGUUUUGUUUACUCAGCCAAGCUAAAGGUUGGAUCCAGCCAGAUGAAAACUUUAAGGAACAAUGAAGGAGAGAGGUGCCGCUCUGAACCGGGACUAAGGUGUAGAACUGGAGUGAGCUGUUCUCCAACUCCUGAAUUUGAACCCUGGACUGAAUAAAAGCUUUAAGACCACAAGACAAACACAAAGUUUAUAGCCAACUCGUUUUUCAAGUGUAGUGUCUCUGCUACAGUCCUUGCUACUCUCUCCUUGGGAAGGUGCCUUCCAAGGUUCACCGUGGCUCCUCUGUACAUGUCCCUAUUCAGGAGGGCCUGGACUCUUCUUCAAUUUUCUGGUAUGGAAGACAUAUGUGGUAUCAAUUAUUCCAGGACCCAGAUCACUUCUUUCCUUUUAAAAUGCCACCAAGCAUCCUAAGAAAGUGUGAUGGUGUUUGGUGUUUGGAGGGUUUUAAAAUUGGGCACUUUGAAGCUAGCAGGCAGCACUGGCUCUACACACUGUUUUAAGUAGCUUUUCCAUGCUCAGGUGCUACUCCCCCACUAACUCCCCAAACUGUUUCCACAUUCUCCCGCUCCUGCCCUCUGCAUGCUUUACCAAUGUGCACAUAGCUGUUCUUGGGCAUAGAUGGUGCAUGCUAGGGGGAUUGUUUGAAAGGGUAAUUAAUAGGCAUAAGAUCCUGUCCUCAUCUGAUAUAUUUUAUAACUUAUUUUUUAUCAAAAAUGAAUUUCAAAUAUUCUGUUGCCAUCUCAGACAUACCAGCAUACAGCCUAAAAAUAGGUACAGUCACCAGAGCUAUGGUGACGGAUCAAACAAAUCUAUCUGCCAUCAAACUCAUGUUCUUGACUUGGGAAUCUCUCUGUGAAACACAGGGCAUUUCUGAGGAAAGCAAAGCCUGGUGACUGAAUGAAACCUUAGAUUUAUCCCCCUAAGGACAGAAUAGUUUUACAGUCAUGCUUUAAUUUUCCUUUGUAUUUUAUACCUUUGACAUUUCGUGGACAAAUGUAAGGAGCAGCAAGGCUGUUGACAGGCCUGGGGAUGACGAAGGAAGGACUAAGCGUUUUCUUCAUUCAAACAAGGCAGAAAGUGAAACCACGUAGUCUAAUGGUCAGUGUCUCAAUAAGAUGAGAAUAAACAGAAAGAGGCUCCGUGUCUUAUUUAUAUUUUAUCAGAGGUUAUUGCUGUAGAACCGUGAAGCACAAUAAAUAGCAUUCUGUUAGCAGCCAUUUGAAAGAAAAUGUUCAUCACUUUCAAAUAAAAUUACUUCCCUC
ensembl:antisense A830011K09Rik RIKEN cDNA A830011K09 gene